GGUUACCUAGCGCAAUGGUAGCGCGUUUGGCUUCGAUUGCUGAAUAGUUACCAAAAGGUUGCAGGUUCGAGUCCUGCGGUGGUCA
rnacentral:tRNA from 1 species